AUUGAACGCUGGCGGCAGGCCUAACACAUGCAAGUCGAGCGGUAGAGAGAAGCUUGCUUCUCUUGAGAGCGGCGGACGGGUGAGUAAUGCCUAGGAAUCUGCCUGGUAGUGGGGGAUAACGUUCGGAAACGGACGCUAAUACCGCAUACGACCUACGGGAGAAAGCAGAGGACCUUCGGGCCUUGCGCUAUCAGAUGAGCCUAGGUCGGAUUAGCUAGUUGGUGAGGUAAUGGCUCACCAAGGCGACGAUCCGUAACUGGUCUGAGAGGAUGAUCAGUCACACUGGAACUGAGGCACGGUCCAGACUCCUACGGGAGGCAGCAGUGGGGAAUAUUGGACAAUGGGCGAAAGCCUGAUCCAGCCAUGCCGCGUGUGUGAAGAAGGUCUCGGAUUGUAAAGCACUUUAAGUUGGGAGAAGGCAGUUACCUAAUACGUGA
rnacentral:rRNA from 1 species